rnacentral:lncRNA from 1 species
CAAAACGAGGCAGAGGAGCGGCCAGGCAUGGAGCGAGUGGUGGCGAUGUUGCAAGGAGAGAGUGAGGCAGAGGUUGUGGCGCUGAAGCCAGGGAAUGAAGGGAACCUCUUGGAGAGCACCAGGUUGUUUGCCGGUUGCAGUAGUGACCUUGGGACUGUAAAGGAGGAAGGCGAGUCGUCUUUCAUGGGAUCGUCAAGUGGAGGUGGAAGUCGUUUUGAGAAAGAAAAUUCCACUGAUGCUGUACUUGAGCUCAGUGAAAUAAGAGUCGGAUGAAUCAUUUAUUUUUGCCACCCUAGAAAAGUGGAGUGCAGGUUGUUGACAUCUUUGACAGAGUUGGGCAGAUAAUUGAUGAAAAUAGUUUCUUCAUUGAAGAGACAGAUAUAGUAUUUGUAGAUGUUGAGCCAACGUAGAAGAGGUUUAACUUCAGAUCUUGUUGACUCCUUAUUUUGCUUUUAUUCCUGCACGACAAUCGCUGACAGUAAUUCUACUAAUCGACAGUGACACUGUACCUGUAAUAGACUCAGGAGAUUGUGGAAGGGACACCACUACAGGUGUUAGCACAAAGUGUGUUUGUAUUAGUAAUUCGGGAGUUAAGUACAAGAGAAAAUACCGACGAUCGAUAGGUAUCGGAUCGGGGGCUUUGUUGUAUCUUAAAUGUUGAUGUCUAGGUUCUUUAGUAUCAACCGAGGUCUGUAUUCAACACCCUCCCUCGCUCCCGUGGUUGAGAUUCCCGGUUUUACUUCAGAGCUACUGCCUUCUCUAUGCUCUGCGUGGAUUUCCUUUUCUGAGAUGCGAACUAUUGGCGAAGAGUCCGUGGAGUGGUCCGAUGGCUCGGAAAGUGGAGUGCCCUCGAGGUUCGCCGGUAAGUUUAUUUGCAUUCCUGAAUUCAGUUUUCUUUGUCUCUAUUCAUUUUGUGUUCUACUGAAAAUAGGUUGUUCUGAGCUUGUAGAUUCGAGCCUUCUAGGUUGUCAUUGAAGUCAUUACAAGUAUAUAAUAUUUUAUGUUAAAAAUAACUUAUGUAUUGUGUGCAUAGGCCUUUUGUUUCAUAAAAAUUUCUUCUUUUAUUUGAAUGCAUUCGGCUUUAAGAUAGAGUGUAAUUUCUCCUCUUGAUAGUGCAGACAUUUCGAAACAAUCAUGUAAUUCUUUUUAAAAUUUGGUCAUGUUUUUUGUGCAACUAUGAAUCAUAAGGAGGUCAUCAAUAUAUAAUGAAGUUAGAAUUAGUUUAUAAUUAGAUAAUCUUAACUAUAAGUUAUAAUCACCUAUUCCUUAUUAAAAACCUGCUUUUUUUUUAAAUAAGAGUGUAUUUUUCAUACCAUGCUUGAGUCGCUUAUUUUAAUUUCCAAACCAUAUUUUUUUUUCAAAGAAUUUCAAACCCUUGUGGCUAAGUAAUAUAUACUUUUACUUUUAAAUCCUCAUGAAGAAAUUCAAUUUUAACGUCCAUAUGGUAUAGUGUCCAAUAAUUUUGUUCUGCAAUUGAAAUUAUGGCUCUAAUGGUGGACCAUCUUAUUAUUAGUACAAAAGUUUCUUCAUAGUCAAUGCCUUUUUUUUGUUCAAAGCUUCUUACAAUCAAUUGAGCUUUGUAUUUUUGAAGUGAGCCAUUAGUAUUCAAUUUCACCUUAUAUAUCCAUUUAGUUGAUAUAGUAGAUUUAUUUGAAGAUAGAUUUGCAAUGGUCUAAGUUUUAUUUUUGUAUAUUGAGUUCAUUUCUUCUAUCAUAGCUUAUUUCCAUCCUUAGUAAAUAAUUGCUUCAUGAUAAGUGGUUGGUUCUAAGUUUGAUAUUGUCAUCAAUCUUGCAAAGUGGUCUUUCAUCCAUCAUGGCACUAUGCUUUGUCUGCCUCUUCUUAUAAUAGUUAAUAAUGGCUAAAUAGAAUUGAUUUCUUGAUUUAGAGAAUGUACUUGUUUAAUUGAUGAUAUAUCAUUAUGAGUUUUAAUGAUGGACUAUUUAUCAAUUUUUAUUCGUAGAGUAUAGCUAAAAAUAGACAUAUCAAUUUUAUUAUUCUUUUUGUAAAGAAGUCGACGAUUCUCUACAUGGAUGACUGUAAAUUUCACCAUUGGUUGUUUCUUGAUUAAUGUCCUAUGUGCACAUGAAAUGAGUAUCCAAAUGUUUUCAAAUGGCAUAAUUUUGGUUUAUUGCCAAAAGAACAUUUCUUCUAUUGACAUAUUGAGAUUGUUUGCCCUUGUUGGUAGCUUGUUUAAUAGAUAUAUUGUGAAUUUUGCUCCUUCUGGCAUCAGAUAAAUGGAUAGUCUCUUCAAUAAUAAUAUGUAUCUUGCUUUGUCAAGUAUUAAUCUAUUUCUUCUUUUCACUACUUCAUUUUGUUGUGGUGUAUAAGGUAAUAUGAAUUAUCAAAUGAUGCUAUUUCUCGUACAAUAUUAGGAAAAGUCUUGUGAUAUAAAUUCUCUUCUAUUAUUGAUUUUGAAACCUUUGAUAAGUUUUCCGUUCGUCUUUUUAUCAUUGCGUUGAAUUCUAUGAUUUCUAAAGGUUUGUUUCUUUUCUUUGAAAAAAUUAAUUCAAGUUUUUCUAAAAUAGUCAUUAAUAAAGAGGAGAAAGUACUUUGUAUAUGAUAAGGAUGCAAUUGGUAGAGGAUCACAUAAGUUGGUAUAUAUUAACUCAAGUAUUUCCUUGAUGUAAUAGCUCCAUCUUUGGAUAUUGCAUUUCUUGUUUGUUUUUCUUUCAAAAAGUGUUUACAAUAUAAUUUCUAGAUUACAAAGGCUGGUAUAUUUUUUGUAUUCAACAUCAUCGUCAUAUGUAGACCUAUAUGUCCUAGUUAGCAAUACCAUAUGUAGUCAUUUUCUUCUUUCAUCUUAUAAGACAUCUUUAACUGUAGUUUAGAUUUUAACUAGAUUUUACCUAGUUAGGUUAAAUCUUCCAAAUUCUCUGAAGUUUGUAUCACGGACAUACUCAUGUAAGCCAAUAAUUACAUAUAUAAAUAGGUAGAAGUAAGUAAAAGUAGAUAAAAGAAAGAUAAUUCUAUAGUAUAUGAUAUGGAAGCUUUCUAAAAGCUUAAUAUACGUUGCUUUGACUUUAUAGGUGUCUUUAAUUGACUUUUUGGAUUAGAAACGUAGUCAACAAGUUGGGCAUGUACUACACAUGUUAUUAGGUUGAAGACCAAUCUAACAAUGUGGCCCACACAUAGAAAAAUUUGCCUUGUAAGUCAAGGCAUGUGUCCUACAAAGUCAACACAUAUUGAAGGUCCUAUAGAAGGUUGCUACAUAGCUCCUAGUUAGAUAGUAUAUAUAGAGACAAGAGUGAAGCCUUCUUCACUCUUGUCAACUUCUUUCUUGUUUCUAGUCUAGGUUCAAGAGUCUUCAUAUUUUUUAGUCUUUGGUAAUAGCCAUUCCAAUUUCUCUUUCAAUAUACAUACUUGUUUAUUUAUAUUUUUUUUAUCUUUCUUUUAGUAAAGGCUCACUUGUCUGAAUCACUUUUUCAUCAAGUUCUUGUCCUUGACAGAUUGAUAAGAGUACACUUAUAAUAUCAAAGCUUUGUCUUAUCUUGAUUAAGAGUGGAUUAUCCCUUUUUCUUGAUAAGAUACAAGCAUAUUAGAAGUCGCGGAUUACCCUCUUCUAAACUGAUAUUGUCUUUAGUAUUUUCUUUGUUCUCAAGUCCUCUCUUCUAUUUGUCUUGAGUGAUAUUAGACAUCUUUUCUUUUCUAAGUAUUAUCAUGAGACAACUUGCUGAAAUGAAGUGUGCAAUGGCACAAAUGUAAGAACAAUUGAGGGAGUUAAUGCUUGCGAUGCAUCAACUCAAUUUGCCACCAUAAGAAGUACUAAGAUUGGCAAGAAGUGAAGAUAUAGAAAUGAUUGGAGCUGCUUCAAUAUCUACACCAAAUCAUAUCUUUUUUCCUAUAGUAGAAUGCCCUUCUAGUGUUAGAGAGCCAAGAAUUGCCCUACUCGAGAAGUUUGAUGGCACCAGAUCUAAGUUUUGAAGAUUUAUCAAUCAAGUGCAACUUGUGAUUGAACUUCAAUCCCAAAGCUAUCCAGCUUUAGGAUCGCAAGUUAGAUUCAUUGAUAUGCUUUUUUCAGGUUCACCACUAUCAUGAUUUUCAUCUUUUCUUGAAUGACAAGAUCCAAUAUUGGAUAAUCUAGAGGCUUUUUUGGCGGAAUUUUGAUCCAUGUAUAGAGAACAUGAUGCAAUUCGUGUUGCAACCAAUAAGAUCCAUAUUUUAUGACAAGACAAUCGAUCAAUAACGUUAUAUGCUUCACAAUUUUGACAACUUGCAAUUGAUAUCAAGUAGGAUGAUGUUGCACUUAUUAGUCAAUUUCUCUGUCGAUUACAAUAUGAGGUAAAAAAAUUAAUACUCAACUUACCUGAUUCUCAAACAUUGAGUCAAGUAAUUGAUUUUGCUAUGAAGUGCGACAAUCACCUUUUUAAAUUUCAAUUUGAGAAUUUUACAAGUGCACCUCAACGUAACUAUAAUUUAAUAGCAAUACCAAUAUCUCUUCAACACAUACAUUCGGAAGUAGAGGAUAUGCAAAUUGAUGCAAUACAUUUCAAACUUCUUAUUGAACAAGAAAAGACUCAUUGUUGUCAAGAAGGAUUAUGUUUAUAUUGUGGAGAAUCAAAACACACUAUUCAACAUUGUCCAAAGAAACGACGCAACCACAAAAUGAGGAGUAUGGUUGUGAAAGAAGACAAUAUGUCAGAAAACGAGUUUGUCUAGCUACAAUAGAGACCGUGUGGCUGGAACUUGGCACAACAUCUAGUAAAGGUUCUAUUCUCUCCUCAGAAUCCUCUCUUUCUUUUACAUUAAAUAUCAUUUUAGGACCUAAACAUUAUAAAGUCUGUGCCUUGUUAGAUUCAGAAGCCUCAGUGUAUUAUUUAGAUAAAGAAUUUAUUAAAAGACAUAGCAUAUCUUUAGUAAAGAAAAUUAAACCUGUUCAUGUAGAAGUCAUAGAUGGUCGUCCAUUGUCUUCUUGAGAUAUUACUCAUGAAAUCUUUCCUAUAGAAAUAAUAAUUAAUGGUCAUAAUAGCUUUGUAGUAUUUAAUAUCAUUAGAUCUCCCUCUAAUCCAAUCAUUUUAGGUUUAUCGUGGUUAAAAAAAUACAACCUUUAAAAAGAUUGGAUUUCUCAAACUCUUACUUUCUCUAAAAGUAUAACUACCAAUGUAGUUAAUCAAGUAGAGAGUCAUAAGUCCAGUUCAAUUAAAUCUGUAUAUAUAGGUACAAAAGCUUUCUUGCAUGUUGCUAUGAAAGAAUCACCAUAUAUUAUUUAUGCCACGCUCGUUUUUAAUGAUGCAAAAACUUCACGUGGCAUUCCAAGUCAAUAUCAAGAAUUUCAAGAUGUAUUUGAAAAAAAAAAUGUGCAUACACUCCCAAAACAUCAUUCCUAUGAUUGUUCAAUUGACCUUCAAGAAGGAGCACAAUUGCCAUUUGGACCAAUCUACAAUUUAUCACAAAAUGAGUUGACUGAACUCAAGGAGUAUAUUGAAGAAAAUCUAGCCAAGAAUUUCAUACGCCAUUUUAAAUCUUUGAUAGGAGCUCCAAUUCUUUUUAUGAAGAAAAAAGAUAGAUCAUUGUGGAUGUGUGUUCAUUAUCAAGGACUCAACAAGAUUACCAUCAAGAACAGGUAUUCAAUUCUUUUAAUAUCUAGACGUCUUGAUCAGUUGAAUCAAGCUAAGAUCUAUACAAAAAUAGAUCUCUGAGGAACAUACAAUCUAAUAUGCAUGAAAGAAGGAGAUGAAUAGAAGACUGUGUUUCAAACUAGGUAUGGACAUUUUGAAUACAAUGUCAUGUCUUUUGGACUUACAAAUGCAACAGUAGCUUUUCAACAUCUAAUGAAUGAUGUUUUUCAAGAGUUUUUGGACGAUUUUGUGGUUUGUUAUCUAGACGACAUCUUGAUCUAUUCUAAGAAUCCAGAGGAACAUGAACUUCAUAUUCGUCAUGUGUUACAAAAAUUAAGAGAUGUGAGACUCUAUGCUAAGAUAGAAAAGUGUGUAUUCUACACUACUCAAGUCAAUUUUUUAGGUUACAUCAUUUCAAAUGAUGGAUUUAUGAUGGAUCUUAAGAAAGUUCAAACUAUUAUAGAUUUGAAGAUCUCAGAAAUAGUAAGAGAUGUCCAAUGCUUUUUGGGAUUUUCCAACUACUAUCAGAUCUUCAUCAAAGACUUUUCUCGAGUUGUAGCUCUACUUACACGUUUGACUUGUAAAGACAAACUUCAAUGGAAUCAAGAAGCAGAAGUUGCUUUUGAAUCUUUGAAGAUAGCAUUUAUUUCUACACCAAUCUUGUAUCGUGUUGAUUUUUCCAAAGUGUUCUUUAUAGAAACGGAUGCAUCAAACUUUGCUCUGGGUGCGAUUUUGUCACAAAUGGAAACACAUGACAAACUUCAUGCAUUAGCCUUUCAUUCAUGAAAAUUCUCAGUAGUAGAAAUCAAUUAUGAGAUCCAUGACAAAGAACUUCUUGUAAUUGUGGAUUCUUUUCAAGAAUGGCGUCAUUAUCUAGAAGGCGCUUCCAGUUUGGUCACCGUGUAUACGGAUCACAAGAACCUUGAGUAUUUCAUGUCAACAUGCGUAUUAAAUCAUCGUCAAGUCUAAUGGAAUAUGUCUUUAUCAAGAUUCGAUUUCAUCAUCACUUAUCUACUACAAAAACAACAAGGUUUGUCCAAUGCCUUGUCUAGAUGUUCUUAUCUUGUACCAAAAGAAAGAGAUGCAGCUUUUGAGCAACAAAGAAUGGUUUUCUUGAAGCCAGAGGAAUUUCAUCUUCGAGCAAUAAAAUCAACAUUGAUUGUUGAUUUAACUUUUUUUAAGCAAGUCCAAUUAAAUAUGUCUUUAGACCCUCUUAUUCAUGAUAUCAAGAAUAAUUCUUCUAAAUCUCAUGAUCCCUCAAAAUUCGAGUUCAAGAACAACCUACUCUAAUUCGAAUGACGCUUAUAUGUUCUAGUAGGAGAAGCUUGUUUACAUGUUCUUCAAGCUUGUCACGACUUCCUAGUAGUAGGACUUUUUGGAUACAAUAAGACUUUGGAGCUAAUAUCUAGGAAUUUUUGGUAGCUUCAAAUGUGGAAGGCAGUCAAAGAUUUUGUACAAUCAUGUGAUGUUUGCUCAAGAUCAAAAAUUCUUCAUCAUCAACUUUUUGGACUUCUUCAGCCGUUAUCCAUUCCAAAACAACUAUGUUCUUCUGUUUCUAUGGACUUCAUCACGGAUCUUCCAAUCUAAGGUUCUUAUGACUCUAUAUUUAUGAUAGUAGAUCAUUUCACCAAGAUGGCACAUUUUGUACCAUGUAUAAAAUCUAUCACAGGUGAAGAAACAGCUAAGCUCUUUCUUGACAAUAUCUAUCCCUAUCAUGGAUUAUCCAAGGAUAUUAUAUCAAAUAAGGGAACUCAAUUUGUAUCAAGAUUUUGGCGGACUCUUUUCAAGAUUCUUAAAGUGGAUAUAAAACUAUCUUUGAUAUUUCAUCCUCAAAAUGAUAGACAAACAGAGCGUGUUAAUCAAGUUUUGGAGCAAUAUUUAAGAUGUAUCAUUAAUUACCAACAAGAUGAUUGGACAACUCUUUUGCCAUUGGUAGACUUUGCUUACAAUAAUACGAUAUAUUCUUCUAUAAAACAAACACCUUUCUUUGCUAAUUAUGGUUAUCAUCCACGACUUAAUACUUUUAACUUUUUAAAAGUUGAUAAUCCUGUUGUGAAAGAUUUGGCGAUUCAUUUGUCAAAGCUAUAUGCAAUGAUGAAGGCGCAGUUAAAAGAAGCUCAAGAACAACAAAAGAUCAAUGUGGAUGUGUAUCGUAAGGAUCAACUACCAUUCUACUUGGGUGAUAAGGUAUGGCUACUUCAUCGCAAUAUCAAGACUACUCGUCCUUGUGACAAGUUGGACUAUCAAAGGCUUGGACCAUUUUCUAUUUCUGCACAAAUCAAUCUAAUUGCAUAUCGUUUACAUCUACCGGAGUCAAUAAAAAUCCAUCUAGUAUUCCACGUAUCUCUUCUUGAACCAUAUAAGACAGUGGACAUACCAAGAAGACGACAAGCUCUACCUCCUCCUAUAGAAGUGGACAAUAAUGAAAAGUUUGAAGUAGAAGAAGUCUUAGAUUUAAAGCAGCGCCAAAAUAAAUUAAAAUAUCUUGUCCAUUGGCACGGAUGUAAUAUUAGUGAAUGCAUUUGGGAGCCAGUUAAGAAUCUUGCAAAUGGAACAAAGGUGAUGGAGGCUUUUCAUCGACGAAAUCCAUCAAAAUCAAGAUGAAAACCUUUUUUAUAAAAGAAACAAAAUCUGGGCAAGCAAACAUUCUACUUUCAAUCCUUGUUUGUAGCUUCUUUGUAGUUGUGACGCUCAGGUGAUGGAGAACCAAGAACGAGUGGAUUUGACUCAAGAGCCUUCAUUUGCUGACCUAUCAGAAAAGACAUUAUGAUUGUUACAAUCUUCAAGACGAUGCAAUCAAGAUAAAGAUCUUCAAGAAGGACAUAUUCUUCCUCGAAUAGAUGGCGAGAUACAACGUGUUUGGUAUCACGACUUGGGAAGGGACUCCCGAUGUUUGGUGAUUUUACUAGAAGUAGGAACAAUUCCUAAUGGUGUUCUAAAUAUUCUAUUUGAAAGAAGUUAUGAAGGCCUCAACAAUGAUCAAAUUAUUGGAUGGUCUUCCUGCCUUGGUAUGAGACACUACUAAUGGUUGAGAGGCCCUAUCAAUCAUCUUCAAAGAGAAUAAAGAUCAGAGUAUGUUGCGAAUAUAAUUCAUCACAUCAUAGAUUUUCUCAACAUAUGAUGACUACUCCUCCUGGAACUUGUUCCUAGAAGGUAGGUUAAUGUCACGGACAUACUCAAGUAAGCCAAUAACUACAUAUAUAAAUAAGUAGAAGUAAGUAAAAGUAGAUAAAAGAAAGAUAAUUCUAUAGUAUUUGGUAUGAAAGCUUCUUAGAAGCUUUAUAGAUGCUGCUUUGACUUUAUAGGUGUCUUUAAUUGAUUUUUUGGAUUAGAAACGUGGUCAACAAGUUGGCGAUAUGCCACACAUGUUGUUAGCUUGAAGACUAAGCUAACAAUGUGGCCCACACGUAGAAAAAUUUGCCUUGUAAGUCAAGGCAUGUGUCCUACAAAGUCAACACAUAUUGGAGGUCCUAUAGAACGUCACCACGUAGCGCCUAGUUAGAUAGUAUAUAUAGAGACAAGAGUGAAGCCUUCUUCACUCUUGUCAACUUCUUUCUUGUUUCUAGUCUAAGUUGAAGAGUCUUCAUAUUUUUUAGUCUUUGGCAAUAGCCAUUCCAAUUUUUCUUUCAAUAUACAUACUUGUUUAUUUAUAUUUUGUUAUCUUUCUUUGAGUGAAGGCUCACUUGUCUGAAUUAUUUUUUUAUCGAGUUCUUUUCUUUGAUAGUUUGCUAACUAUCAUUUAUAAAUAAGUGGUCAUAUUUUGAGUACGGUAUUGUAACAUGGGCAGUAUUUUAAUGAGUCAAAAAAAUACUGACAAGCCUAGUUUUCAAUAGACUUGAGGAAGGUGGUGGUUUUAAUACUCAAGUAAUAUAAAAUUUUUGAUAAACCUAAGAAAGGUGGUGGUUUUAAUACUCAAGUAAUAUAAAAUCAAUAAAGACUUUCAUUCUAUAAUUACAGUAUUGACAUUUAUUUUUAAAUACCUAAUCAUAGUUUUCUAUUUUGCAUGAGAUUGACCGUAAAUACUGAUUGUUAUCACUUUAUGAUCAACAGCCCUCCCAUUAGUGUUCAAUUUUUAUAAUCGCAAAUCUUUGUCCUAAUGUCCCAACAUAAUAACUUUUCAAGCAUCCGAAUUAAUAGUGGCAAAACAACUAUCUCUUCUAAAGAUUAGGAAAACUAUGACUAUGAUUGGAAUUCAUCCAAAACGAAUAGGCAUACAAUGACACAAGGGACACAAUCCAACCACAAUAUAUGAUGCAAUAGUACGUCAAAAAUAUUGACACUAUAAAAAAAAAAUAUAUAUAUAUAUAUAUAUAUAUAUAUAUAUGAAAAACCAAUUUUCAAAUAAAGAGUAUACCAAAACCUUGGUUUAAAGUCUAAUGAAUAAGUCCAAGAGGCCAAAACAAGCAUUAAACUAGAAAAUUUGCAAACUUACUCAACAACACCCAAUUACUUCGGAUAAGCUUCUCAGCUCCUCCAGCCAACUAUGCAACUCAAAACGAAAUUGCUUCGCCUUCACAAGCGGCACCCAUCAUGACUCGCACCGUUUUCAAAACCUCACAAGUCCGCCUAGUUCCUUCUCCCCUCCUUCAACCAUCCAAAUUUAUAAACCUAUCACUCAUAUGAUCCAAAUUUGUAAUCCACUGGAACUGUAGAUGUCCAAUGACACUAGUCUAAUCUCUUCUUGACUCCUCAAGGUCUGAAAAUUGCUACACAUCAUGACAAACUCGAAAUAGAAAGAGAAAAAAAAUGAAAAGUAAGGCAUUGCUGAGGUGGGUAGUACCAAAAUGAGCAUAGAAUCCACACACACAUAUGGAGUGAAAGAGAGAGGGAGAGAGAGAGAGAGAGAAAGAAAGAGAGAGAGAGAGGGAGAGAGAGAGAGAGAGAGAGAGAGAGAGAGAGAGAGAGAGAGAUGAGGGAAUAGAGAGAAAGAAAGAGCCAGAGGGAUCAAGUGAAGAUAGAGAGAUAAGGUAGGGAGGAAGAAAGGGAUAAAAAAUGAAGAAGUAGAAGAGAAAAAAAAACUCAUGUGCGAGGUGGUAUAAGGGUCUAAAUGAUCAGAUGCUUGCACUUGUGAGUCAAAAGAUUUGGAGCCCCAACAAUCCCCAAGCCCAGCGGAAAGCCAUGGCGAGGUAGUAAAGGAGCGGUUGGACGGGCCACCUCCCUCACACUAAGGGGCCAUACGAUGCAAGGACAAUGUGCGGUGUGUGAGAAAGUCUUUGGAGUCCUUGUCAAGUCUCGGGUGAUUUGGAGGAGUCACGAGAACUCUGACAGCCACCGGAGUUGAGUUUGUUAGCGUCUUAAGUCUGGAAUUAUAGGGACUGGACUAUGGUGACAGUAUCCGGAAAUAGGGACCAGUUCACGGGGCUAGCACUAACGAGAUUUUUUGUUGGCUGUGUCUCAAGGUGAAACCAAAUGAUAACUAGAAGAAAUCCAUUACAUGUAGUAUCAGAGCCUAUUUUAGAUCGGAAUUGAAAAGUAGUUUGGAGGAAAAUUUGUGGAACCAAUUGUUGGACUAAAACAGAGGAGCAUUAGUAAAAGAUAGAGAAAAAAACUACCAAAACUGCCUUUCAACGAUUAGAUAAGGAUGAGAUCCUUGAGAUUGAAGUAUAAGUGGGUCAAGAAGUAACCAAACCAAAAAGGAGGUUGAUGAAAAAGAAACCUUUGCUUGAAGAAGAACUUUCUCCUAUCCAAGUGAUGGAAAGUGAAGAGGAAGCUCAAGGAGAGCAAGAGAAGUUUCAACAAACCUUGCAAGAAAUUCAGGAACCUCAAAGUGAUGAAGAAGAAAGUGAUAAAGAAGAAAGGAAUCCUAGAUCACAGAGGCCUACUUCUUCCAAAACCUCCAAAGAUUCAAUAGAAGAAUCAAGAGUAGAGAGACAAAGUGUUGUCUGCCUUGAUGAAGUUGAGAAAAUAGUUGUGAGAUUGAUGGAAGUGAAGAACAAGGAGUUUGAAAAGAAGAUGGAAAUAAACCAACUUCUAAUAGACUCUUUAAUGAAAGAGAAUGUGAGAAGGGAGGCCUUGCUUGAAGGUCAAAAGGGUAAGUUAAGUUCUCAUAGAGCCAAAACAAAUCAACCAAAAAAGUGUAAAGGCACAAAGUACAAAAGAACAAUAAGAAGGUUUCUUAAGAAAAUCAAACAUUGGCACUUAGCCAAUGAUAUUGAAAGUGAUGUAGAUAAGAUAAGGACCUUAUCUGCAUUACUUGAAGGAAAUGAUUUGGAUUGAUUUGAUGGGAAAAUCAAAACAAAUCCUAACUAUGCCAAAGAAACGACUUGGAUUGAGGUUUGUGAGGAACUGAUAGGAAGGUUUGAUAGUAAGUAGCAAAACUUCAUUGAAGGAUUGCAACUUCUCAAGCUAAGGCAAGAAGGAGGAAAGGCCUCACUUCUUAAAUAUGUUGGUGAGUUCCAAAACCAACUAACAUAUUCUCAAGUAGACUAUCAUAAGUGUUUAUUGCUUUUCUUUUAUAAUGGAUUGAAUGUUGCAACAAGAAAGAAAUAUUGGGAAAGGAAAACCAUACCUAUCAAUAUUACUAAUGCCUUUGUCCUAGCUUCUCAACUUGAAUUGGAAGAACAAGAUGCGGGUCAUUAUGAACAAAACACUAUGUUCAAAACAUAGGAAUGAAAGGCUAAUUUUUAAAGGGGAACUAGGCUCUUCUAUGGAAGUAAGAAAUCAUCUUUUCUCAAGAAAAAAUUUGAAGAAGGUCCUUCUUAAGUUGAGAAACUUAAGAUCAAAGAGAGACAAGGAAGUGGCACUAAAAAGACAAAAGUAAGUUCGUCUAAUGUAACUUAUUUCUAGUAUCAACAAAAAGUACAUUAUGCAAAUGACUGUAAGAAUGAAGAAGUGCCUAAAAAAGUAAGUGAACUUCCUAACACUUCUUUAUCAAAUAAGACUCUUGAAGUACAUUGUCUUCAAGUUAUGAGUCUUAGUAAAAAGAUUUUGAUUAAAAAAAGAGGUUUUCAAGGAAAACUCACUUCAAUUACUUUACACAAGAAACUCAUCUAUCUCAAUACUAAAGCUGGGAAUUGUAAAACCUCCAUGUUGAUUGACAUAGGAGCAAUCAACUUGUUUAUGAAUCCAACUUAUGUCCAAAGGCCCAAAUUGAUUCAAGAAGAAACCAAGAGGGUAAAAAUUUCUUUUACAGAAGGCGAGGAAGUGACCAACUGAGUUGUAAAGGAUGUGAAGUUUAAUUGUCCAAACCAUAGGUUUCAAGAAGACUUCUUAAUCUGUGACUUUAGUGGAAUAGAUGUAGUUAUAGGAAAUACUUUGUUGAACUUCUAUGGAAUUAAACUUAGAUGGAAUUCCAAAAUAAGAAUAGUCAUGGUUAGAGAAAAUAAAAAAGUAGUAGACUUACCAUUUACAAACUUUCUCAUGUUCUAUCAAUCUAGGAUUUCUAUAGUAUCUUAGAGAGAAUUAGAAGGGGAACAGUUCUCUUCCACUUAAAAAGUUUUGAUGUUGAUUCAAUUGAUGAUAUAAAAAGUAUUUCUUUUUUUAAUAAUAAUGAGUUGAUAGAAAUAAAUUCUCAUUGUACAAACUUAGUUACUGAUCUUAUGUAUGAAUAUAGAGAUGUUUUGAUAAUGGAACUUCCAAAACAACUUCCACUAAGUAGGAUGGUGGAUCAUAAGAUAGAUUUGGUACCACGGUCACAAUCUCCAAGUAAAGCACCUUAUCAGUUAAAUCAAAGGGAGUUGAGUGAAUUCAAAGCAUAGCUUAAUGAGAUGCUUGAAAAUGGAUAUAUAAAACCAAGCAAAUCUCCAUUUGGAGCUCCAAUCCUCUUUGUAAGUAAAAAAGAUGGAAAAAUGAGGAUGUGCAUUGAUUAUAGAGUCUUAAAUAAGAUGACUAUAAAAAACAACUAUCCACUUCUGAGAGUCGAUGACUUAUUGGAUAGAUUAAGUGAUAGUAAACAUUUUAGUAAGAUUGAUCGUAAAAGUGGGUAUUAUCAAAUAAGGAUCGCUCAAAAAGACAUUGAAAAAACUACUUGUAGAACCAGAUAUGGUCCCUAUGAGUUUGUAGUAAUGCUUUUUGGGUUGUAUAAUGCACCUGCUACCUUUACUACUUUAAUGAAUUCAAUAUUUCAUAAGAAAAGUGAUGAGUUUGUAGUGGUGUACAUUGAUGAUAUUCUGGUUUUUUCUAAAAGUGAAGAAGACCAUAGACUACACCUCAAGAUAGUUUUGUAGAAACUAAGAGACAAUCAAUUGUAUGCUAACUUAAAAAAAAAAACAUGUUUUUUUUAGGAGAAUUGGAGUUUCUUAGGUAUAUCAUCAAUGGAGAGGGAAUAAAAUCAGAUCCAAAGAAGAUUGAAGCAAUAAGAAAUUAGGAAGUACCAAAAACUUAAAAAGGAGUGAGGUCCUUUUUAGAACUAGCAAAUUAUUAUAAGAAGUUUAUAAGGAACUUCUCCAAAAUUUCUAGCCCUCUUACUAGUCUCUUGAAAAAAGAUAACAACAUUAUUCAAUGGAAUGAUAAUUGUAAUGCAUCUUUUCAAGAAAUCAAAGAUGCCUUAGUAUCAAGUCAUGUCUUGUUCUAUCUUAAGUUUGAUAUGGAGUUUGAAAUCCAUACCAAUGUAAGUGAUUUUGCGAUAGGAGGAGUCUUAAUGCAAGAAAAGAGAUUGGUGGCUUUUGAAAGUAAGAAGUUGAGUGGAAGCCAACUAAGAUGGCCAACACAUGAGAAAGAAUUGUUUGUAGUGGUAUAUUGUUUGAAAGCUUGGAGACACUACUUGAAAAGUAGAAGAACCAAAGUAUACACUGACAACAUUUUUUUAAAGUAUUUUACUUCCAAAGUCCAAGCCUCACCUAAAGAAUUGUGGUGGUAUGAUGUGAUAGUGUCAAUGGAUAUUGAACUAAUUCAUAAACCGAACAAAGACAACUUAGUGUCUGAUGUAUUAAGUAGGAGAGAGGAAUUUAUGGGAAAAAAACUCCAUGACUCAAUGACAUUAAAGACUAUAGUGAAUAAUGAUGAUUCCGUCUUUAUAAAGGAUAUUAAGAAAGAUUAUGAGCAAGUUAAGGAUGCAUUUGAAAUUAAAAAAGCCUUUGCUCAAACUAAAACUACAAAGAAAAAAAAGAGACUUAUGGGAGUCUUUUUUAUAAGAAAUGGAUUAAUUUGGUUUAAGCAAAGUAGACUCUAUGUACUAGAAGAUAAAUGGAGAAGAAAACUAAUGUAUGAAAUACAUGAUUCUUCAUGUGGUAGACAUAGAGGUAGGAAAGUCACAUGUAAAGAAGUAACAAAAUCCUACUAUUGGCCCUCUGUAAAAGAAGUGGACCAAUAUGUGAAGAGCUGUUUAGUUUGUCAAAAGAAUAAACACUCUAUUCAAGCAAAGAAUGGACUCUUAGAACCAUUACCUAUUCUAUCUCUACUUUAUAGAGAUAUUUCAAUGGACUUCAUAACUAGCUUACCAAAAUGUGGUGAAGUUAACUCCAUAAUGGUAGUUAUUGAUAGAUUCAGCAAAAUUGCUAGGUUUGUAUCAAUGACUAUGUUUUCGAAGGAUUCAAAGGAGGCAAUGGAAACUACCCCAGAAUUAAUAGCAAAUAUAUUCUUUGAUAAUUGGAUCUCUUUGUAUAAAGUGCCAACCUCAAUUGUGAGUGAUAGAGAUGUAAAAUUCACAUCUCAAUUUUGAUAGCAUAUUAUAAAGAAGCUAGGUUCUAAGAUAAUAUUAACUACUACUUAGCAUCUACAAAGGGGUGGCCAAAUUGAGAGACUCAAUGGAAUUCUCUCAAUGUAUCUAAGGCACUAUGUGGCAAGUGAUGAUAAGAAUUGGGUCAAAUGGAUGCCUACAGCUGAGUUUAGUUAUAAUACAACUCAGAAUGUGUCGUUAGGAAAUACACCAUUCCAAGUAGCUCAUGGUUUUAAUACACUUCGACCUAUAGAUUUGGUAGGAGUGAGACAGAGUGAUGAAAUAGUUUCGGAUUUUUAUUCAAUUAAAGGAGCUAAGUAGGUGGCAAAAAGAAAAGCCAUAUUACAAACCGCUAAAGCUAGACAGAAAUUGGCCAAAAGAAGAUAUAAGAAACAAGCAUAUAGGUAUAGAAGGGAUGUGCAAUUUGAAAAAUUAAAUAAAGUUUGGUUGAAUACAAGCAACCUCACUUGCCUAACACACAUUACUCCCAAAUGGACCCAGAAAUAGGCAGGUCCUUAUGAGAUUGAAAGAGUGCUAUUCAAGAAUGUCUAUAUAUUAGACAUACCUAAAAGAUUGAAGUGGCAUUCAGUUUUCCAUGUAAGUGUUCUCAAAAAAUUUGUGGAGGAUGGAAAAGGCUUCCACAAAGAGAAGGCAAGAAUUCCACUUGAAGAAGAAAUAUGGGAUCAAACCAUGGGACAAGUAGAAAUGAUACUUGAUAAGAAAUGGAUGGAUGUUAGAGGAGUUCAAUACUUGUAUACUUUCAAAGGAUAUCCUUGUAUACUUGUAUACUUUCAAAGAUACUUGUAUACUUUCAAAGGAUAUCCUUAUAUACUUGUAUACUUUCAAAGAUCCAAGACUACAAGGAAGCAGAUCAAAAACCACUAAAGGAUAGGUUGGUUAGUUGAUUGAUAAUUUGAGAGAGAUUAAUAGAAAAGGUGAUCAAGAAGAUGAGGGCAUCUUCACUCCAAAGUGGAGGAGGAUCACAACUUAUGUGACUUGUAAAAAAAAAAAAAAAAAAAAAAAAAACUUGAAAAAGAAAAUGGUAGAAGUUUUCAAGAAAUAAAAGAUUUUGAAAGGAUUCCAACCCGAGGAGACUUCAUAGAGGGAAAUCUUAAGAAGCUUGUUUGAGGUGGAUACAAGACUUUGAGCAACUAGGCCUAAACGGUUGGCCUUUUCUAAAUGGGUUUCAUAUUGAGUGAUAGCAUGUCACUUCCAUAUGGUAGGGAAGGGUAUUAGGGUGAGGCGGAUCCUAAUUAAGGGGUUCCACAGCCGCGGCUAAGUCUAAGUGGGGAAUAACAUCCCUAUUAUUCACAUUGGGAGAUGUGAACUUUCAAAAUUCAUAGAAUUGAGAAAACUUACAUCCGUUUUCUAUUUUUUUAUGACUUAUGUGACUUCCAAAGUAGAGGAGGAUCACAACUUAUGUGACUUGUAAAAGAAAAAAAAAAAGAAAAAGAAAAAAAAAAUCUUAGAAAAGAAGAUGGUGGAAGUUUUCAAGAAAUAAAAGAUUUUGAAAGGAUUCCUGCCCGAGGGGACUUUGUAGAGGGAAAUCUUAAGAAGCUUGUUUGAAGCGGAUACAAGACUUUGAGCAACUAGGCCUAAACGGUUGGCCUUUUCUAAAUGGGUUUCACAUUGAGUGAUAGCAAAUCACUUCCAUAUGAUAGGGAAGAGUAUUAGGAUAAGGCGGAUCCUAAUUAAGGAGUUCCACGGCCGCGGCUAAGUCUAAGUGGGGAAUAACAUCCCUAUUAUUCACAUUGAGAGAUGUGAACUUUCAAAAUUCAUAGAAUUGAUAAAACUUAAGAAAGUUGAAGGCAAAAGGAAAUUGCACAAGAAACGCGAGAAGAGGGUAGCGUCUCAUCUCAAUAAGGAAUUAGUAAAUCCUCAUCUACCCCUACAACCUUCUGAAUGACUAGAAGUGUAAAUGGAGGCUAAGUAGUUAAGGAGCCAUCAAGCUACUUAGGAAAAAAAAAUAGAAAACGGAUGUAAGUGCAAGACAUCCAUUAUAAAUAUUCUUUAAGAAUGGAAAAACAAAAAAAACAAAUGUACCUCAUAUGUCAAUGAGGACAUUGACUGUCCAAAGUGGAGGAGGAUGUAAGGAUCUAAAGGAUCAGACCCUUGCACUUGUGAGUCAAAAGGUUUGGAGCCUCGGCGAUCCCCAAGUCCAUGAGAAAGCCAUGGCGAGGUAGCAAAGGAGCGGUUGGGUGGGCCACCUCCCUCACACCAAGGGACCACACGAUGCAAGGGUAGCGUGCAGUGUGCGGGAAAGUCUUCGGAGUCUCUGUCGAGUCCCGGGUGAUCCGGAGGAGUCAUGAGAACUCCAAUGGUCAAUGGAGUUAAGUUUGUUAGUGUCGUAAGUCUGGAAUUAUAUAUGGACGAGACUGUGGUGACAAUAUCCGGAAACAGGGACCAGUUCAUGGGGCUAGCACUAACGGGAUUUUCUGUUGGCUGUGUUUCAGGGUGAAACCAAGUGACAACUAGAAGAGAUCUGUUACAGGUGGUGGUGGAGGAAGAUGAGCACAGUAUGAGUUCAUCUCUCUUACUCUCUCUCGCCAAGCAGGGCAUGUGAGGCCACAACCGAACGAACGAACCUAUAAUCGAACCAAUGAAUAGACAAAAAAAUUAACAAAAUCUGUUGAUCCUGAGACUCGCCCCCGCCACCACGCUCCCUGCCCAGUGCAUCCUCGAGCGGGGCCAAAAAGAAAAAUAUUAUUUAUAUAAAAUACUUCUACAUGCAGGAGAAUUUGAUUCAAAAAGCAACAAUAUUUGAACCAACUCAAUGUAUGAUUAAGAUUUACAUUUAUUGGUACUUUGACUUACAUUUAAAUAUAAAUUGAUAUUUAGAAAUAAUUAUUAUUAUUACAAACUCUAAACUAAAAUCACUUUGUACUAUCCUGAACUACUAUUUAUUGUUUGGGAAUUCUAAAUAUAUGUUUCAUACAAAUUUUUCAAACAGGAUUUGAAAAUUUCAUUUUGAAUAGGCGUGUUUCUCAUUCCUCAUCUUAAUAAAUCGUUUCUAUUUCCAAUUUAAAGAAACUAAAUUAUGUGUUUUUAUAGAAAAUAAGAUUAAGCCUAAACACCACUAAAUAAGUUCAUGAUCCUACUGCGAGACAGGAUGACCCCGCCGCAGCCGACACGAGGUUUUAUCGGGGAUCGGGCUGCCCAAUUGCGGUCCAAGCAGGACCUUCCAGGUCCCAUGGCGGAAUGGUAAGCAGAUGGAUGAACGCCAUCCACCGACAACUAACAUCUGUAAUAAAAAAAAAAUUAUGUCUCGUUUAUCAAGCAUUGACAAUGUUGAAGAGCUGGUGGUCCUCACCGACAGUGUGAAUGUGCGAGACCACAUUCAGCUCACCUCAGAAAUCGGUAGAGGCAAUCGAUAUAAAGUGCGCAAAGCAUUGGACAAGAGCUGUCUGUCUCGUUUCAUCACGUUGUUGUGCUUUCUCUGUCGACACCGUAAUCAGAGCAGAUUCACACUGUGAGCAGAGUGCAUCUAAGCGGGAGACACCAUGGGUCUCAAACUGGGCGUCGGGAAGUAUUCUCUUGUCCACCAAUAUUGCUUCGUUGCACCUCUCAUCGUCUUGUUGGGCACAUAGCCCAUCUGCAACGGACAGAAUAAAGAAAUAAUUUUUAAAUCCGGAACAAGGUAAGCAGUACCACUCCAUCAUGUGAAUGUGUGGUUACAUAAUUGGCCAGGCAAAAAUUUAGGGACAAUUGAGUACCGAGGCAGCACUUGAUUGACUUGGCUGUACAGUUGGACGUCGGUUGCGAAAAUGCUAGUACUUGUAAGAGUCUGACGAAACUCCAUUUUUUCGAAGAGACCGGUGUGAAUAAAGAGGACUCUGUUCCUACACGGACUAGUAACAAAUGAACUAUUGUCUGGGUUAACUUGCAGUGGACGCAAUGUAUGACCAACUCAAGGCAUGAAAUCAAACCCCCACCUUGAGACUACCUUGGCUGGGUGUGACAAGAAAUCCCCGUAUCCGUGCUUCGACCCAGACCAUCGCAAUUGUCGUGGGAUGCAGUGUCUCAACUUCAUCAACUGUACAUCAAAUGCCACGCAUCAGGAUUGCGAUGCCCACAUUAUAGGCGUGUGAGUGUUAACUACUUUAAUUUAUUCUGUUUCCAAAUUGUUGCUCAUGCUGGAAUCGAAUUUUGCUCCUGGACAACUGGGGGGUGGACGUGCUGCCAGCCUUGUAGACCGCUUCAUAUGUACAACUGCUUCUGAUUCAUCGUGUCGCAUCCAUUAGUUUUCUGAUUUUUCAAGGGUUUCAUAGCCACAACAAACAGGACUCUCCAAAGUGCAUCACUUGUAGGCUCUAUACCACCAACAAUUGGAAACAUUUCCACGCUGUAUACAAUGUGAGUCUCCGAAAUGUCCUUGAUUUUUGCUAUUACCUGCUGAUAAGAAUUCAUGAUUCAGUGUUAACUUGGUUUAUGAAAAUUGAAAUUAUCCGACAGAUCAGCACUUAAAAGCAAGGUAUCAAUUGACAUCGGACUGUGAAAUGUUCAGUGUUGGUUCAGGAAAUUCACAUUUUCAGCAUCCUCUUUACGGAAGACGACACUAAUAGGUGGAUCCUGUGAUGCAGGGAGUUGACAGAAAAUCCAAAUCUCACUGGAACUCUUCCACGGACAUUGAAUGAAACUAGUCUUAGCAUUUUGUAAGACUCGAAUUCAGAUGUGCAGUUCUCGUCACUCGCGACCAAAUUAUGCAUCCAAAGUUUGCCACUGCAUUUGAGUUAGAUGCCAUUAUGCAAUUUAUAUGUGAGAUGUUGUUUUGAUUCAGAUAUGAUACAGUAAUUGCAUGUUGCUGAUGCAAACACUGAAAGUUGUUUGACUGCUCUUAAUUCCCAGGGAUGUUCACGACAAUGCGUUGGAGGGUGAAUUCCCUGAUUACGGGGUCCUUCCCGAUUUCUCAAAUUAGUCAGAUGGAGUACCUCCAAACAUUAAGACUCGGUAGAAAUCGUUUUGAGGGGCCGGUCCCAGCACAAGCGUUUGAAAACAUGACGGAGCUUUUCGAACUGUAAGAAUCCGAAUUUCUAACAUCUGAAAUUAGAGAUUCGAGUUUUUUAGUCCAGUAAUUCAUGCAACUUAAUCGACUAGUUGUGAAGUAUUUUAGUUCAAGUUGUGAAGUUCCGGCUCAGUAGUUACUGGAAGUUGUGAAGAUCCAUGUUUGUGCCCUACUUCUGAAGUAGAAGUGGGUUGAAUAUGUCCACAGGGGAUACUUGGCACCAGAUUAUGCGUCGUGUGGUCGAUUGAGUUACAAGGUGGACGUUUACAGCUUUGGAGUGCUGUGUUUAGAGAUCGUGAGUGGAAGAAGAAACAUUGACGAUUCUUAUCCUCCUGGCGAAUUGUAUCUGUCCAAAUGGGUGAGGAUUUCGCUCUUUUUUUCACAUGUUUGGUAUCACUAGCGUCAAUUGAGGGUGAUCGCUUUGGUCCAAGAUGGAGUUUAUUUUCGUAGGUGAAAUGAAUCCUAGUCAUUCACAGGAUGUUUGAGCAGAUUGGGCAUGUAGGGAUCAGCAUAUGGCUUAUUGUCUCGGUGGGUUCGUAGGUAUGGGAUCUGCAUCGGCAGGGUAUGAGGCAGAGGUUGUGGCGCUGAAGCCAGGAAAUGAGGAGAAACUCUUGGAGACCAUCAGGUUGUUUGCCGGUCGCAGGAGUGACCUUAGGACUGUAAAGGAGGAAGGCGAGUCCUCUUUCAUGGAAUCGUCAAGUGGAGGUGGAAGUCGUUUUGAGAAAGAAAAUUCCACUGAUGCUGUGCUUGAGCUCAGUGAAAUAAGAGUCAGAUGAUUCAUUUUUUCUUCCAACCCUAGAAAAGUGGAAUGCAGCUUGUUGACAUCCUUGACAGACUGGGGUAGAUAAUAGAUCAAAAUAGUUUCGACAGUGAAGGGACAGAUCUAGUACCUAUAGAUAGUGAGCCAACGUAGAAGAGGUUUAACUUCAGAUCUUGUUUUCUUCUCUGGUGAGGUUUUCUGUGCAACUUUCGAUCUUGUUGACUACUUAGCUUGGUCGUGUUCUCAGUGCAACUUACCAGAAGGAGGUCAUCAAUAUAAAAUGCGAUAAGAAUUAGUGUUCUCCCAUCGGAUAAUCUUUUAAAAGGUUUGUUUCUUCAUUUUGAGAAAAUAAAUUCAAGUUUUUCUAGAAUAGUCAUUAAUAAAGAGAAGAAAGUAUUUUGUCCAUGAUAAAGGUGCAAUUGCUAGAGGACCACAUAAGUUGGCAUGUAUUAACUCAAGUAUUUUUUUGAUCGAGUAGCUCCAUCUUUGGAUAUUACAUUUGUUGUUUGUUUUCCUUUAAAACAGUGUUAACAAUAUAAUUUUUAGAUUGCCAAGGCUGGUAUAUUUUUUGUAUUCUACAACAUCAUAUUUAGAUCUACAUGUCCUUGUUAUAGAUGAUCAUUUUCUUCUUUCAUCUUAUCAGACAUCUUUAACUAUAGAAUAGUUUUUGGCUAGAUUUUUCCUGCUUAGUUCACUGGUAAAUCUUUCAAAUUCUCUGACGUUGGCAACCUGUCAAUUGUAAAUAACUGGUCAUAUUCUGAGAAGGUAUUGUUUUGUAAGCACUGUUUUGAUGAAUCGAAAAAAUACUGUCGGGCUCAGUUCCCGAUAAACCUGGGGAAGGGGGUGGUUUUAAUGCUCAAGUAUUAUAAGAUCCAAUAAUUCAUGCAGCCACGGAAGUCAAAAAAGCCUUGGUUUUAUAACUGCAGUAUCGACGUUAUUUUUGAAAUACCUAAUAAUAGUUUCUUAUUUUUUUAUGAGAUUGGUCGUGAAUGAUGGUUGUGACCUCUUUAUGACCGACGGCCCUUCGAUUCGUGUUUAAUAUUUAAAACCGCGAAUCUUUAUCCCAAUGACCCAACAUGAGAACUUUUGAAGGAUCUGAAUUAGUAAUAAUGAAUCAACUAUCUCUUCUAAAAAUUAGGAAAACUAUGACAAUGAUUGUAAUCCAUCCAAAAGCAAUAGACAUACAAUGACGUAUGACGCAAUCUAACCAUGACGUAUGACGCAGCAGUACGUCAAAAAUGUUGACACUACGAAAAGGAAAUCACAUGAAAAACCGAUUGUCGAAUGGAGAGUAUACCAAACUUGAGAGACAGGGGAGGGAUGAGGGUGGAAUUGAAGAUGAAGAAGCGGAAGGGGAAACGAAUGGAAAUGCGAGGCGGUGGUGGAGGAGCUCAGUGAGAGCCUCUCUCACUCCCUCCCUCUCGCCAAGCAGGACAGGCGAGGCCACCUCCGAGCGAACUAACACACCAACGAACGAACGAGCAGCCCAAGGAACGGUGGUGAGCCUGAGACUCGCCCCCGCCAACACGCUCCCUGCCCGGCGCUCUCAAGGGCAGGGCCAGGAAGAAGGGAGCCAUGUGGACAUGUGUCCGUGCGCGCGUGUGGGGACGUUGAGGUUGACUUUGACCCUACAUCCCCACAAUUUAGGACGUGUUUUAUAGAAUGCAUUCACAUAUUAUAUAUACAAAUGAACUGAAAAAAAUAGUUCUUUGAAUCUUACCUCAUAAGAAUUUCAAUCAGGUGAAGGUAUUUAAUAAUUACAUUAUUUUUUAUGUAAAAGAAUAUUAUUUAGGAAAAUUUGGUUCAAAGUAUAACAAUGUUUUGCAACAAUUAAAUGCAAGAUCAAGAUUUACAUUUGUAAAUACAUAUUUUUAUUGCUAAAUCUAAACUAAAAUCACUUUGUAUUAUCCUAAACGAACUUUUACUCUUUCGGAAUUCUAAAUAUGUGUUUGAUACAAAGUUUUCAUAUUGGUUAUCAAAUUUUAAUUUUGAAAAUGUGUCUCUCUCAUUUCUCAUCUUAGUAACCCAUUUCUAUUCCCAAUUUAAAGAAACUAAAUUAUGUAUUUUUAAAGAAAAUAAGAUUAAGCCUAAUCACUACCAAAUAAAUUCAAGAUCCUUCUGCGAGACAAAAAGACCCCGGCGCCGCUGAAUCGAGGAAUUCUCAGGGGAUCGGGCUGCCCAAUUGCGGUCUGAGCAGGACCUUCUUGGUCGCAUGGCGGACUGGUAGGCAGAAGGAUGAAUGCCAUCCAUCGACAAUUCACAUCCGUAACAAUAAAAAUUUGCCUCGUUUCUCCAGCAUUGACGAUGUUGAAGGGCUGGUGGUCCUCACCGACAGUGUGAAUGUGCGAGACCGCAUUCAGCUCACCUCAGAAAUCGGUAGAGGCAAUCGAUAUAAAGUGCGCAAAGCAUUGGACAAGAGCUGUCUGUCUCGUUUCAUCACGUUGUUGUGCUUUCUCUGUCGACACCGUAAGCAGAGCAGAUUCACACUGUGAGCAGAGUGUAUCUAAGCGGGAGACACCAUGGGUCUCAAACUGGGCGUCGGGAAGUAUUCUCUUGUCCACCAAUCUUGCUUCGUCGCAGCUCUGAUUGUCUUGUUGGGCACACUGCCCACCUGCGACGGACAGAAUACCACUAUAAUUUUCGACAGUAACCAAGGUAAACCGUCCCACUCCCUCAUGUGUAUGCGUGGUUACAUGAUUGGCCAGGGCAAAGGAUUUAAAAACAGCUGGGUACCGACGCAGCUCUUGAUUGACUUGGCUGCACAAUUGGAUAUCGGUUGGUAAAAAAGAUAGUGCUUGUAAGUGUCUGACGAAACUCCAUUCUUUCGAAGAGACCGGUGUGAAUAAGGAGGACUCUGUUCCUACACGGACUAGUUAGAAAUGAACUAUUGUCUGGGUUAACUUGCAGUGGACGCACUGAAAGACCUUUUGCGAGCAUGGAAUCAAACCCCCAACCUUGAGACUAACUUGGCUGGGUGGGACAUGAAUUCAACAUUUCCGUGCUUCGACAAAGGCGAUUGGCGUGGGGUGCAGUGUCUCAACUUCGUCAACUGUACAUCAUAUGGGGAGUAUCAGACAUGCUAUAGCUACAUUAUAGGCGUGUGAGUGUCUACUACUUUGAUUUAUUCUGUUUCCGAAUCGUUGCUCAUGCUGGAAUCGAAUUUUGCUCCUGGACAACUGGGGGGUGGACGUGCUGCCAGCCUUGUUGACCGCUUCAUAUGUACAAGUGCUUCUGAUUCAUUGUGUCGUAUCCAUUAGUUUUCUGAUUUUUCAAGGGUUUCAUGGCCACAACAAACAGGACUCUCCAAAGUGCAUCACUUGUAGGCUCUAUACCACCAACCAUUGGAAACAUUACCUCGCUGUAUAGACUGUGAGUCUCCGAAAUGUCCGUGAUUUUUGCUAUGACCUGCUGAUAAGAAUUCAUGAUCCAGUGUGAACUUGGUUUAUGAAAAUUCGAAUUAACCGAUAGAACAGCCCUUAAAAAGCAAGGGAUCAAUUGACUUCGCACUGUGAAAUGUUCAGUAGUGGUUCAGGAAAUUCACUUUUUCAGCGUCCUCUUUACGGACGACGACACUAAUAGGUGGGUCCUGUGAUGCAGGGAGCUGACAGGAAAUCCAAAUCUCACUGGACCUCUUCCACGGACAUUGAAUGAAACUAGUCUUAGCAUUUUGUAAGACUCGAAUUCUGAUGUGCAGUACUCGUCACUCGCGACCAAAUUAUGCAUCUAAAGUUUGACAUUGCAUUUGAGUUAGCUACCAUUAUGCAAUUUAUAUAUGAGAUGUGGUUUUGAUUCAGAUAUGAUCCAGUAAUUACAUAUUGCUGAUGCAAACCCUGAAAGUUGUUUACUGCUCUUAAUUCCCAGGGAUGUUCACGACAAUGCGUUGGAGGGUGAAUUCCCUCAUUACGGGGUCCAUUUGCUCUUCCUCGUGACAUUGUAAGCUUUUUAAUUGAGGAGUGUGCCAAACCAUGGUUUGUUGUUUUAAUUUCGCAAAUGUUUCCAGCAGAAAGACUGUGGUCAUCUCACAAAUCGAAUUGGCACUUCAACAGGGACUUAAGUGGCAACAAGUUUAAUGGGUCCUUCCCGAUUUCUCAAAUUAGUCAGAUGGAGUACCUCCAAACAUUAAGACUCGGCAGAAAUCGUUUCAAGGGGCCGGUCCCAGAACGAGCGUUUGAAAACAUGACCAAUCUUUUCGACCUGUGAGAAUCCGAAUUUCUAACAUCUGAAAUUAGAGAUUCGAGUUUUUCAGUCCAGUAAUUCAUGCAACUUAAUCUACUCGUCUCUUCAAGCAACCUAAACGUACUAGUCUCGAAUGGUUUUAGAGUUUGGCAUCGCACCAUCCGAGUGCAGCAAAAGCUAUAUACUAGGGGUAGGUGAUCGGUGAAUGGUUUGUUGUGGUGGCUACUACUUCUCAAACUCGUUUGAAUCCGAGUCGCUCUAAUCUCACUAUUCUUAUGUCUCUGGGAUUGACAGGGACUUGUCAAGCAACAAGUUUAACGGGACACUGCCAAACCUGACAAUGAUACAUUCCUUACGCACUGUGUGAGUUUCGGAUGCCCAGGAUGUGUGUGCAGUACCUUACAAGCUUAAGCAUAACUCUGCAAUUAUGUUGCCAGCUUGUCAAUGUUGUGACGGGAAAGUUGUAACCACGCACGUCAGUUCCAUAGUUGCAUUCCUUACAUUGGCUAACACUUGCAGCAGGGAUUGCCAUGGAACAAAAACACAGGAUGUAGCACAGUGUAUCUUGCGGGAGAUUGAUAAUAUCAUCAUCAAUCAGGCCCAGGUGAAACCCGAUGUAUCUUAUGUUUUCAGCAAUAGAGGAUGAAGUGCUCUGAUUCCUGUAUUUAUGUCUUCCACAGGAAUUUGAGCAGGAGUGGAUUUACAGGAUCGUUUCUGAUUUCGUCGUACUUCAACAGAACUGAGAACAACAGCCUCUCAGUGUUGGAUAUAUCUCACAAUCCACUCACACUCGAUCAAAAUUUCUGGAGCUCCUACGAACUUGGCUCGCUCCAGGAGCUGUAAGCUCAUUUUAUCAAGUUUGAAAUUACCAAAAUCUGGAGUGUGGAUGAUUUAACCGGACGCCAAGUAAUAUACGUCCUUUAUCAUGCCUAAAAUACAUUUCAAUAUCGAGUAUAUCUUUAUCAGGUUGAAUGAAUGAUUUAGAGUUUCCGCAAUGCAGUUAUCAAAAUGUUGCAAUGCUACGGAAGUCGCCUCACAAGAUACAUUGCAUUACAGGUAUCUCGACAACAUUCGCACCGAUCCAACACUGAACAUCAGUCGACUGUAUGACCUGGGCUUGCUAAUGUCCAAAAACUCGACAGCAAAUUCAAGCAUGCUGACAGUACUUUCAUUGAUGAACAACAGCAUUAGAAAUGUUGUCUAUGACGCCAAGUCGAUCGUUGAUAGCGCCACAGUUAUCUGGUGAGCAUGCCCUGGCGAUUGAUGGCAAUCCCUUCUGAUAAGGUAGGAAACGAUCACUAAUAGAUCGGCUCGUCGAUCAAUGGUAGCUGGAAUGCAACGAUGAACCGUUUGCUCUGAGUAGCUGUGUACUUAUCAUGUUAACAAGUCUUUGUAGGGAAUUGUAUGACUGGAAUUCAAUUCACAGGUAGCAUUGGUUACCAAAUCGUCACAUUGGGUUGUGCAGACUGCAAGGGAAUCCAUUCUGCAAGUGUCCACAUUCUGAUGACGGAAGGAAAAUGUUCUGUGCACAAACUUGCAUCAACUCAGGUAUUGGUCCUCGUCCUUGAGGUCGAAUGAACAUGUCAUUCUCAUGUUUUUUUGUCAACCAUGCUUAUGAGAGUUCGUCAUCUUGUUUCAGUUCCAAUGCAAGAAAGCAAACGCAAGAUUACGAUAAUCGCUGUGGUGGUCAGUGUAACCUCAUCACUGAUCCUAAUGAUCAGUCUGGCUAUUCUAUUUCAUAGGCACAAAAAGCUCAAGCAAUAUCAGCUUCUGGUCCAACAAAGUAAGGACUUGAUCUCCACUUCUGGGAGUUCACAAUAACAAAUUUGGCAGGAUAGCUGUAGCUCAUGCCUGAUUCAUUCUCAAAAUCAACUGCAGCUGUAACAAUUGUUUACAAAAGUACUGAGGUUUGUAUUCGCUCCAGAGUUUGAAGAGUUUGAGGUGAAGCCAACUAUAUUCACCCACAGCCAGCUCCGAACUGCCACACGCGACUUCCAUCCCGACUUGAAGUUGGGCGAGGGAGCCUUUGGGAGAGUGUACAAGGUAAAAUGUGAACAACGUCGAAGAAAUAUUGCAGAUCAAGACGUCUACUUUUCUGCCGAAAACCAUGCAGAUCUACUGUCUGUGUGCCACAUGGAUGGUAGUAAGCAGAAGAUAGUGGGAUUUGUUUCCAAUUUAUUACAUCGGAGAUUUCGACUAAAUGACACCGUCUUUGUGACUUCUCGCAGGGAAUUUUGCCGAAUGGAAAUGUCAUGGCUGUGAAACUACUAUUCCCCCAAAAGACUUCCAAGGGUUUAGACGAAUUUCUGAAUGAGGUAGUUUUGUUGACAGGAAUGAAGCACAGGAACCUUGUGAAUCUGAGAGGGUGUUGCAUUCGUGAACAACAAAGAUUGUUGGUGUACGAGUAUGUUGACAACUAUGACGUUGACCAGGUUCUUCUAGGUGAGAUGAACCCUCAACGUGAGAACUCUAAUCUUACACAGCGUCUGUGACAGUUUUGCAAUUCUUCAUUGAAAACACUCCAAUCACUUAUUCUUGAUUCUUUUUGGAUUACUCUCACACUUGCUCUUGUUUAUGAACAACCUGAAACCAGUUGAAAUUUGGUGGUAUUUAAGCGAUAAUUAGCACCCUUUACACCUUGUGUUGCCACGAUUUCGUUGGCGCAGGGGGUGCAAACAAGGCCGACUUGAGCUGGCCUGUGCGAUGGAAGAUCGUCUUGGGAGUGGCCCGCGGUCUACAUUACCUCCAUGCACUUGCACAUCCGAGGAUCAUCCAUCGAGACAUCAAAGCCAGCAACAUCUUACUAACCAAGAACUACGACACCAAGAUAGCAGACUUCGGCUUGGCGUUGCUUUUUCCUGAUGAACAGAGUUGUAUAGUGACCAAGCAUGUUGCUGGUACCAAGUAAGCUCAGUAGUUAGUUCAAGUUGUGAAGUUCCGGCUCAGUAGUUACUGGAAGAUGUGAAGUUCCAUGUUUGUGCCCUACUUCUGAAGUAGAAGUGGGUUGAAUGUGUCCACAGGGGAUACUUGGCACCAGAAUAUGCGUCGUGUGGUCGGUUGAGUGACAAGGUGGACGUUUACAGCUUUGGAGUGCUGUGUUUAGAGAUCGUGAGUGGAAGAAGAAACAUUGAUGAUUCUUAUCCUCCUGGCGAAAUGUAUCUGUCCAAAUGGGUGAGGAUUUCGCUCUUUUUUUCACAUGUUUGGUAUCACUACCUUCAAUUGAGGGUGAUCGCUUUGGUCCAAGAUGGACUUUAUUUUCGUAGGUGAAAUGAAUCCUAGUCAUUCACAUGAUGUUUGAGCAGAUUGGGCAUGUAGGGAUCAGCAUAUGGCUUAUUGUCUCGGUGGGUUCGUAGGUAUGGGAUCUGCAUCGGCAGGGUAAGUUGGUGGACUCGGUGGAUCGUACAAUGAAUCUGCGAGAUGAAGAAAAGGUGGAGGUGCUUCGUGUGAUCAACAUCGGCCUACUUUGCAUCCAAAACGAGGCAGAGGAGCGGCCAGGCAUGGAGCGAGUGGUGGCGAUGUUGCAAGGAGAGAGUGAGGCAGAGGUUGUGGCGCUGAAGCCAGGGAAUGAAGGGAACCUCUUGGAGAGCACCAGGUUGUUUGCCGGUUGCAGUAGUGACCUUGGGACUGUAAAGGAGGAAGGCGAGUAGUCUUUCAUGGGAUCGUCAAGUGGAGGUGGAAGUCGUUUAGAGAAAGAAAAUUCCACUGAUGCUGUACUUGAGCUCAGUGAAAUAAGAGUCAGAUGAUUCAUUUAUUUUUGCCACCCU